UCUAACAUCGAGCCCCCAAGCUUUAAUCUAGGAAUAACACAAGAUAUCGAAGAAGCAAACAUGGUGGCAUGUACCUCAGGUCAUGACAUCUCCUAUGUGGCUUAAGACUCUGACAAAGAACAAGAACUCAACUUUUUAGCACAUACCCCAGAUCAGCCAAUCUCAAAGUCAGUAGAUGCCUCUGACAAAUCCGGAGAAGGUAAUGCAGUGCACAAAACUCCCUCUUCGCAUGGAGGUUACCAACAAACAGAACUUAGUAGUUUCUCUCCGUACUCUAUGUUGAAAGAGACGAGUGGGGCGAGGAUUUUCAUGCGUGAGGAGUACGCAUGUACAAAGCUCCCACCUAAAUCCAAGAGGAGAAUUAUCGGCGGUCCUUCUGAUAUCCUAUUCGAUCGGCUAAAGAGGUCGAUUAAACCAAGCCAUUCGGUGAAAUCACCAUUUCUGAGCAAGCAACACUCUUUCGUCAGGCAUGACCAGAAGGCACUUGAUGAUUUAUACACAUGCAAUUUCAAUCACUGAUGCAGAAGCUCUUAAGAAAAUCUGGGUUCACAUCUCCCAACCUGUCCCUAUGUCAUUAAGCCUACAUGACAUACAACAGGCUAUUUGGCUGGACACUCAAAUGCAAGAAGAAAUAUUCAAUGUUCCAGAUCAAGUAUUAGCAGCGGAUGAGAUACAGAGAUUUGGAGGAACUGAUUUUGUAGGCUGGAGACAUUUCUUAAAUCAAGAUUUUGCAAUGUUUGCAACAGCUGGUGAUGACCACUGGAACCCAGAGGAUCAUCUCCCCUCAUUCAAAGAUGACUCCCUGAUACCAUAUGACGUACCUAGUUGCCACCUGAUAUUUAUUCCACUACUUCAACCACUGCACUAUUCUCUAUACGCAUUUGAUAUGGAGAAAACAAAAUUAUACAUUCUUGACCCACUGAGAGACGCCUCGAAAAGAUCAGAGGAUACAGCAGAAAGACACUUAAAAACAAAAUUUCACAUUUCAUCUGCUCUGAAGGAGUGCAUGAAGCUUGCAUUUCCAGAUUAGGACGAGGAUAUACCAAACUGGGUUUCUGAGUUCCCUUCGGCCAUCCCAGCUGUAAACAAUAGGCUGGAUUGUGCCUUUCACGUGCUCUACUACAUGCGAAACUGGGAUGGAACUUGCCUUGUGAACCCCCCAAAAUCCGAUCAACGAGAUCUUCGAAAGGAAUUUCUGUCCAACUUAUUGUCAUUCAAAACAACGAAGCUAUUCUGCCGGACUUCGUCGUUCACUACCUGAAGUUAUCUAACAAGAUCUAAGCAUGUUAUGCAAGCAUGCCAAAAUAAAGAUUACAUUCAGUUACAUCAUUAUUAUCUAAAAUUUGUUAGUUCCCAAUAAUAUUUGUCUUGUUCUUACUCAACAUUUUUCAAGGCUUCAUGUUCUCUGCUAUU